CAGAGUUCAUGCCCUUCGGGGUAGAUCUCCCACCCUAUGUUAUACUACCUUUGUUGCUUUGGCAGGCCGUCAGGCUUCGGCCAGGCUACCGGCUCCGGCUGGUAAGCGCCUGCCAGAGGACCCUAAACUCAGAAUGUUAGUGUUGUCCGAGUACUAUAUAAUAGUUA
rnacentral:misc_RNA from 1 species